rnacentral:rRNA from 1 species
GACGAACGCUGGCGGCGUGCUUAACACAUGCAAGUCGUACGGUAAGGCCCUUUCGGGGGUACACGAGUGGCGACCGGGGGAGUAACACGUGAGUAACCUGCCCACAACUUUGGGACAACGCUAGGAAACUGGUGCUACUACUGGAUAUGUGCUCCUUCUGCAUGGUGGGGGUUCGAAAGCUCCGGGGGUUGUGGAUGUACUCGCGGCCUAUCGGCUUGUUGGUGGGGUAGUGGGCUACCAAGGCGGCGAGGGGUAGCCGGCCUGAGGGGGUGACCGGCGACAUUGAGACUGAGAGACGGCCGAGACUCCGACGGGAGGCAGCAGUGGGGAAUAUUGCACAAUGGGCGCAAGCCUGAUGCAGCAACGCCGCGUGCGGGAUGACGGCCUUCGGGUUGUAGACCGCUUGCAGCAGGGACGAAGCUUUUUGUGACGGUACCUGCAGAAGAAGCACCGGCUAACUACGUG